rnacentral:rRNA from 1 species
CUGAAGGAACGUUGAAGACGACGACGUUGAUAGGUCGGGUGUGUAAGCGCAGCGAUGCGUUGAGCUAACCGAUACUAAUGAACCGUGAGGCUUAACCUUACAACGCCGAAGC